rnacentral:lncRNA from 1 species
GGCGAUUUAAAUUGAGCCCCGCUAACGUUGACUAUCUUCAAGAACUGCUUUUGGAUCAAGUAUUCGCUUCUCCUUGCUUCUUUCUCGCGUUAUUCCUCUUGAGUUUUGUUACCUUUCGGCUGGAAAUGGACCACUUGCCGCUGGUGUGGCAGUGGUUGGAGCAUGACCAUGUUGAUGAUGAGCUGUCACUGGCCCAUUCCAAGAGGUUUUCUGGAUAGAAAUUCCUUUUCAGGGAGAUUAGAGGGACGGAACCUUUUGACGUAUUCUUUAUGACAGGAGGGUUUCAUGCCUAUAAUCCCAGCACUUGGAAGACGGAGAUAAAAGGGUCGCCGUGAGUUUGAGGACAGCCUGCACUACAGAAAACUACUUCCCCAGAACGGAGGUGUGUGAAAUGUCUUUGUCCCCCUAGGAAGUGUGGGAGUCACCACUGAGCCUUGUCAGGCCAGGUGGGAAGCUGAGACCGAUGAAGUGGUCCUGCAGCGGUGGCAGAAGCAGAUAGAUUAUGGCAAGUGCAUACCUGGGUACCAGAGCUUUCUGCAGCAGGUCCCCAGGGCACAGCGACAGCCGGGUUUUCACCCUCAAACACCAAACAAAAACAGGAGAUACAGUCGCAGAUCCUGAGAUGCCCAAAUCAGGCAAUGGAGAAGAGCCCUGCAUACCUGGGACCCCCCAAGCCAGCCUCUCCAUGACAGACAGGCUGAGGGAUGAUCUCCUGGUAGCUGGCCCCAGGGCUCAGAAUCCUCAGAGAAUUGGGACAGAGUUUGCAUACUUGAAGCUUCCUGCUUCCUCCCCGGCCCAGCUCAAAGAUGAAGUUCUCUAUCACUAAGUCUACCUGUUUCCCUAUCCCAGAUGAGGGGGCUUCAAAACACUUAGAGUAAACCCUUGACUUUUAGGGAUUUGCUGCUACAACUGUAAUAAUGAAAUGACUGGAAUUACCACUUUCUAUCCGACUAAAGAAAGGAAUCUGAAACUCUGCCCUACAGUGAUCUGAGCAUGAGAGCAUUUAUUGAAAAAAAUUUUUCCCAUCUGAGACCUCCAAUUUACAGAAGAGCCAGAAGCCUCUAUGGGCUUUCUUCCCUACUGACAUCAACACCCAGCCUAUUGAAAAAAAACUUAAAACUUUGGUUGAGGUGGGAGGUGGUGAUAAUGGUACAGACUUAAUAAAAAUGUGGUUUCCAGUUCCUGAAGAGGAAAUACA